ACUGAACCACUCAUUUUCGGAACUGGAACCAAACUCAUUGUGGAACCAAAGGACCAAGCCGUGCAGAAACCGUCUGUCUUCAUGUAUGGCAAUCCUGCAGGUGGCAGCACCAUUGCAUGUCUCGCUACUGGUUUCUACCCGAAAGAAAUCAAAAUGGAAAUGAACUCUACAGCUACAGCUACAGCAGUUAAACAAAAGGAAAGGCCUGCCAUUGUUACCAGUGAUGGAAAGUAUGGAAAAUUAUCCCUCCUAAGAAUUGAUGAAGAGGCUGAAAAAGACAAGGUAUACUGCAGUGCCGAGCAUAAGGGGACAUCCUAUAUUACUCAUGUUAGUGCUGAAUCAAAAGUGCCAGAUUCUGCAUCUCCAGAAGCAGCAGGUGACAUUCCAUGUACUACCUCAACUAAGGAAUACCCAAUUGUUUCAGAUGACUCCAGAUUAAACCUGAUGUCCAUGACUGUUUUGGGCCUGAGAGUUUUGCUUCUGAAAACCAUCUCAUUCAAUGUUUUGAUGACUGCUCGAUAUUUGAUGUGAUGAAUCUUAAUGCCUUUUGAUGUUCUUCAUGACCAUAGUUGGACUCUCAAAAAUUCAGUACCAGUAAAUAGUCAGCUCCUAAGACUUUCAAGAAUUUUAAUUUGAGAUUCAAGGCUUUCUCAUAUAUUUUUCCAUAUAAUAUGUUUGCUUUUGUUUUUUAUAUAUGCUUUUUAAAUAGUAACAUGCAUUAUUGGGAAAGCUUAAUUCUGGUAACUACUGAUUAUUACUUUAUAUCCCACACUGUUUUAGGGCAUGUAUAUUUUGUACCAGUGCUGAUUAAUUGCCAAACCAUUAUAGACAAUCUGCCAUGAAUGUUGUAUGCUACUGUAAGAUGAACACCGGAAACAUGAACAGAUGUCAAAGUAUACCUUUAUCAGGGACAAAUUAGCAAGGGGGCCAAUAGAGCUGCAACUUAAGGCUUACAUUUUCUGAAAUAGGUCCUUUUACUUCUUCUCCUGGUUUAGUCUGAAAUCCUGCGCUAAUGUCAUACAAAAUAAAUAGCCCCCUUAUGGUUUUCAGCACUAGACCCAUGAAACCCAUAAUCCAGCAGUGACAUUUAUAUCUAUAUUAACACAACCAUGAUGUGCCACAUAUAGAAUGCACAUAUUAAGGAAAUGCUUAUUUUGUAAAUCAGAGUGAAAUAUAUAUGAUACAUGAUUCAUUACUUCAAUUUAUAAUUACAUUUUAAAUUUGACUUCUUAAAGUAUGCAUAAAGUUUUAAAUUACUGUUUUGGCAACACAUAAUUUUGGGCAGGCACUUUGGACCAAAAUAAGUUAAUUUGCAGUUACAUUUUGUGCAGUUAAAGUAGAGAUCAGAAUCAGUUCCUUCCAAAUGUUCCAAAUUACGGUAUCGACAGAGACCAAUACAAACCAAGUUAUAUAUAGAGUUGGGAUUUUUGCUAAGCUGAUUCAAACAAUCCAGAUCAUGGACUCGAGACCACUGAAUGUGCGUCAGCUUUAGUUAAAGCUGUUACUGGUAAAGGACAGCUUCAGGCACUCAGCAGGUAGUGCACCCCCAUUAAUAAGAUGAAAACCAAAGGUCUGUGGGUUUUGUUCCUGUAUAAUCUGCUUUGGGAUCAUGUUCUAGUGCUAACUCUGGGAUGUAACUUAAAGGCAGUUUUACAGUCUUUCAAGUGAAAGUCACAUGUGCUUGAAAUCGUCAUAGGUCAAACGGAUCAAGCUUAUUAAAAAGAGUAGCAUCAUUUCACAACAUGGACAGAUUUCCCCAAGUUAUUACAAAUACAACUUAAUGUACAUAAACAGGUUAUAAGCUUUCUGCAAACAACUUGUUAACUGGAACUAAAAUAAAAUUACAUUUCCUCCACAGAGAUGUAGUUUUGAAAAUAACAUAAACGUUAGUCAUCUACUAGGAUGUUUAUAUUUAUUUCUAUUUUAUUUUUAUUGUUUUCUAAUUUGCAUAUUUUAUACAGAGUUUUCUUUUUGUAGGUGUGAACUAAGGAAUCCAAGUUCACUGAGCACCUCACUGCAGAUUUCUUUCUGUAUAGUUCUGAAUAGACUGAAUAAUAAAAUGUUAAAGGUUAAGUAAAUCUACACUCAAAAUAUAUUAUAUCAGUGGCACAUUAUAAGGGUUCUCUAUUGCAAUUCCAAGACCCAUAAUUGUGACUUCCUGAAUUACAAAAAAAGCAAUGGAAAUUACAGUAUAACAGCAAAUGUCUAUAAUCACUAUUCUACUUUCUGGAUCUUUUUGCAAGGGUGGAGCCCUCUGUAUACCUCCAUAUUGGGGGAUGCACUGUCACAUCCCUAUUAUUUAAACAUACUGACUCCAAUGUCACCAAGAACUAACAACAUAGAAUUACUUAACCAGCAUGGAUGCAAAGAAUACAUUUCCAGUAACUCUAUCCAUCAACUUAAUUUUCAUUUCAGCAUUAUAAUUUUAAAUAAUCAGUGUUCAUUUUUCCAUUCAUGAUCUUGGAAUACAGUUUGAAAUAUCACUUCAAUAUCUUUGUUCUUUAACAUUUUAUGAUUGUAGUUUAUAUUAUUUUCUGUUUUGCUAUUGCUUCAAAAUAAAUAAAAUAAUAUGCACUAUAUCCAUUGCAUUUUGCACACUCAAAUCUCUGUAGAACUUUCCCUGUUUAAUAUUCUGAUAACAGUAUCCAUCUGUAUAUCCUUAAUCAUUUAAUAAAGUAUAAUAGGUGAAGUUGGCUUGCUGGAGUGCUCACUGUGUUGAGUUUAUUAUUCAAGUAUACUUUUUUCCAGCAUUUGCUUCUUAUUAUUUUUAUAAGUAGCAUUCUUUCAAACAGAAAAAAUAAAGUGGAAGAAAAAGCACAGUA